rnacentral:rRNA from 1 species
UACGUAGGGUGCGAGCGUUAAUCGGAAUUACUGGGCGUAAAGCGUGCGCAGGCGGUGAUGUAAGACCGAUGUGAAAUCCCCCGGGCUUAACCUGGGAACUGCAUUGGUGACUGCAUCGCUCGAGUAUGGCAGAGGGGGGUAGAAUUCCACGUGUAGCAGUGAAAAUGCGUAGAGAUGUGGAGGAAUACCGAUGGCGAAGGCAGCCCCCUGGGUCAAUACUGACGCUCAUGCACGAAAGCGUGGGGAGCAAACAGG